rnacentral:lncRNA from 1 species
CCGGUACAAUUUAUGGUGGACCGUUCCUCUUAAAAAUGGAGGUUAAAAAACCUGAUUAUGAGACAACAGUAAAGCAAAGUCAAUGAAUGAAAGCCUUUAUUUCCUAUUAAAGGGAGAUGCGGUUAAUGUUAAGAUUAAGAAUGAAGUAGUUACACCUAAUAAAACCCAUCCUCUGCUCAAAAAGUUGAAGAAGAGAAGGCCUUCUAAGAAGAAGGGAGCAGGACAGGAACACGUAGGCAGCCCAAGAGUCUGGUUUAGUCAGUGCUGCUCAGGAAAAUGCCUGAGGAAUUGGGAAAGAAGAGCUGGAAAUGCUGUUCCUGUGGAGGUGAGAACUGGUUCCCCAGGGAUAUAUAGGAAUUCCAGAGACAGUGGUGCUGCCAAGCUGUGUGUGUCCAGAGGUCACUCUGCUGCUCUGCUGGGGGUCAGAGAAGUAGGAGAAGAGUUGGGUGGAUACGGAGUGCCGGCAUGAGAGCAUUUGCCAAGAUCAAAAUGUUCCCCAUUGCUGCAAGAAGAUGAGAUCUUGGAACCUGGAAUCACACAGUCACAGCUCCAGCAGGGCCUCUGGCAACAGCCCCAGUGUCUUCAGCUACAGACACCACCUCUGUGAGUGCCAAGAAAAGCAAACAUAGGCCCCAGAUCUCCUGUUGCACCAACUGGAAAGAAGCCCACAGCAGAGGAGCUGAGCUGUGCAGACAGUCUUCCCAUGGCUCUUGAUUUUCCACCAUCCUACCCCCUUCUGAA